AGUGAGCGCUGGCGGUAGGCCUAACACAUGCAAGUCGAACGGCAGCACAGUAAGAGCUUGCUCUUACGGGUGGCGAGUGGCGGACGGGUGAGGAAUACAUCGGAAUCUACUUUUUCGUGGGGGAUAACGUAGGGAAACUUACGCUAAUACCGCAUACGACCUACGGGUGAAAGCAGGGGAUCUUCGGACCUUGCGCGAUUGAAUGAGCCGAUGUCGGAUUAGCUAGUUGGCGAGGUAAAGGCCCACCAAGGCGACGAUCCGUAGCUGGUCUGAGAGGAUGAUCAGCCACACUGGAACUGAGACACGGUCCAGACUCCUACGGGAGGCAGCAGUGGGGAAUAUUGGCCAAUGGGCGCAAGCCUGAUCCAGCCAUACCGCGUGGGUGAAGAAGGCCUUCGGGUUGUAAAGCCCUUUUGUUGGGAAAGAAAAGCAGCAGGUUAAUACCCCGCUGUUCUGACGGUACCCAAAGAAUAAGCACCGGCUAACUUCGUG
rnacentral:rRNA from 1 species